GAGUUGCAAACUCCCAAACCAUUUGUUUAUCUACCUGUUUCGUUGCUUCGGCAGGCGGCUCUCCGGGGCCUUUGCUACCUGUAGUGCCUGCCGGAGUAUCUAAAACUCUUGUUAUUUUUGUUCUGUCUGAGUAAACUUUUAAUAGUUAAAACUUUCAACAACGGAUCUCUUGGUUCUGGCAUCGAUGAAGAACGCAGCGAAAUGCGAUAAGUAAUGUGAAUUGCAGAAUUCAGUGAAUCAUCGAAUCUUUGAACGCACAUUGCGCCCAUUAGUAUUCUAGUGGGCAUGCCUGUUCGAGCGUCAUUUCAACCCUCAAGCUCUCUUGCUUGGUGUUGGGGCUUCUGCGGCUUCGGCCGCAGGCCCUGAAAAACAGUGGCGGGCUCGCUAUAACUCCGAGCGUAGUAAUCUCUCUCGCUUUGGAAGUGUAGCGGUUCCCGGCCGUUAAACCCCCCAAUUUCUGAAAUGUUGACCUCGGAUCAGGUAGGAAUACCCGCUGAACUUAAGCAUAUCAAUAAGCGGAGGAAAAGAAACCAACAGGGAUUGCCCUAGUAACGGCGAGUGAAGCGGCAACAGCUCAAAUUUGAAAUCUGGCUUCGGCCCGAGUUGUAAUUUGUAGAGGAUGCUUUUGGUGCGGUGCCUUCUGAGUUCCCUGGAACGGGACGCCUUAGAGGGUGAGAGCCCCGUAAAGUUGGACACCAAGCCUAUGUAAAGCUCCUUCGACGAGUCGAGUAGUUUGGGAAUGCUGCUCAAAAUGGGAGGUAAAUUUCUUCUAAAGCUAAAUACCGGCCAGAGACCGAUAGCGCACAAGUAGAGUGAUCGAAAGAUGAAAAGCACUUUGAAAAGAGGGUUAAAAAGUACGUGAAAUUGUUGAAAGGGAAGCGCUCAUGACCAGACUUGUGCCCUGCGGAUCAUCCAGCCUUCUGGCUGGUGCACUUCGCUUGGUUCAGGCCAGCAUCGGUUCUCCGGGGGGGAUAAAAGCUUCAGGAACGUAGCUCCCUCGGGAGCAUUAUAGCCUGUUGCAUAAUACCCUCUAGGGGACCGAGGUUCGCGCA
rnacentral:rRNA from 1 species